AGGACUAUACUUUCAGGGAUCAUUUAUGUAGUUUGUUACUAGAGAAGUUUCUCUGAUUGUGUAGAGCACCCAAGCCACAAGGAGGGCCAGAGCAUCCUCUCCCGAGUGUGGAGCUGGUUCUAGGUGCUGCUUUUGGAACUGCCCUUUACCACUGAUGAUCGUUCUUCUCUUCCUUUGGAAGAGGUAGAGGAGGAGGAUGCUGUCUGAGUGGU